ACAGGGGCUGCCCUGGUGGCGAGUGGCGAACGGGUGAGUAAUACAUCGGAACGUGUCCUGUAGUGGGGGAUAGCCCGGCGAAAGCCGGAUUAAUACCGCAUACGAUCUACGGAAGAAAGCGGGGGAUCUU
rnacentral:rRNA from 1 species